AGUCGAGGGGCAGCGGGGAGGUAGCAAUACCUUUGCCGGCGACCGGCGCACGGGUGAGUAACACGUAUGCAAUCCACCUGUAACAGGGGGAUAACCCGGAGAAAUCCGGACUAAUACCCCAUAAUAUGGGCUCUCCGCAUGGAGGGUUCAUUAAAGAGAGCAAUUUUGGUUACAGACGAGCAUGCGCUCCAUUAGCCAGUUGGCGGGGUAACGGCCCACCAAAGCGACGAUGGAUAGGGGUUCUGAGAGGAAGGUCCCCCACAUUGGAACUGAGACACGGUCCAAACUCCUACGGGAGGCAGCAGUGAGGAAUAUUGGUCAAUGGUCGGCAGACUGAACCAGCCAAGUCGCGUGAGGGAAGACGGCCCUACGGGUUGUAAACCUCUUUUGUCGGAGAGUAAAGUACGCUACGUGUAGCGUAUUGCAAGUAUCCGAAGAAAAAGCAUCGGCUAACUCCGUGCCAGCAGCCGCGGUAAUACGGAGGAUGCGAGCGUUAUCCGGAUUUAUUGGGUUUAAAGGGUGCGUAGGCGGCACGCCAAGUCAGCGGUGAAAUUUUCGGGCUCAACCCGGACUGUGCC
rnacentral:rRNA from 1 species